rnacentral:rRNA from 1 species
CAGUAGCCGCGGGAAUACAGAGGGUGCGAGCGUUAAUCGGAUUUACUGGGCGUAAAGCGUGCGUAGGCGGCUUUUUAAGUCGGAUGUGAAAUCCCUGAGCUUAACUUAGGAAUUGCAUUCGAUACUGGGAAGCUAGAGUAUGGGAGAGGAUGGUAGAAUUCCAGGUGUAGCGGUGAAAUGCGUAGAGAUCUGGAGGAAUACCGAUGGCGAAGGCAGCCAUCUGGCCUAAUACUGACGCUGAGGUACGAAAGCAUGGGGAGCAAACAGGAUUAGAUACCCGCGUAGUCCCUGUCUCUUAUAC